CCACCUCAUGGCAGCUUCUCACAUAGCUCCGAAUGACAGGUGUGUACCACCAUACCCAGCUAGGGUUGAGAAGGGGUUUCAUAGGUAUGCCCAGAGCUGGCCUUGAAUUAUGAUCUUCCUGAUCUCAGGUUCCCAUGAGCCUCCAGUGACCAGUUGGAUUAAAGUUUGAUGUGAGUGAAAACACAAUGGAUGGGUCACUCACCUUCUGAACACAGCAGGUCUGUCUCUUGUCACUGAGAAAAUUUUGGUCUAAUUUCUUUGGAA